rnacentral:rRNA from 1 species
UCAUCAACCCUGUGACAUACCUAUAACGUUGCCUCGGCGGGAACAGACGGCCCCGUAACACGGGCCGCCCCCGCCAGAGGACCCCCUAACUCUGUUUCUAUAAUGUUAGGAUCUUCUGAGUAAACAAGCAACAUAAAUUAAAACUUUCAACAACGGAUCUCUUGGCUCCAUGGCAUCGAUGCUAAGAACGCAGCGAAAUGCGAUAAGUAAUGUGAAUUGCAGAAUUGGCAGUGAAAUGUGCAUCGAAUCUUUGAACGCACAUUGCGCCCGCCAGUAUUCUGGCGGGCAUGCCUGUUCGAGCGUCAUUACAACCCUCAGGCCCCCGGGCCUGGCGUUGGGGAUCGGCGGAAGCCCCCUGCGGGCACAACGCCGUCCCCCAAAUACAGUGGCGGUCCCGCCGCAGCUUCCAUUGCGUAGUAGCUAACACCUCGCAACUGGAGAGCGGCGCGGCCACGCCGUAAAACACCCAACUUCUGAAUGUUGACCUCGAAUCAGGUAGGAAUACCCGCUGAACUUAAGCAUAUCAAAAGCCGGGAGGAAAAACCGGGAGGAAAAA